rnacentral:tRNA from 1 species
GCGAAAUACUGGGAGUUUAGAAGCCGACCGCAAUCAACGGCAAACAGCCAAAAACGCAUUUUUGCAACCUUGCCAAGGUUGGGGUCGAGGGUUCGAAUCCCUUCGCCCGCUCCA